rnacentral:rRNA from 1 species
UACGAAGGGGGCUAGCGUUGUUCGGAAUUACUGGGCGUAAAGCGCACGUAGGCGGAUACUUAAGUCAGGGGUGAAAUCCCGGGGCUCAACCCCGGAACUGCCUUUGAUACUGGGUAUCUCGAGUCCGGAAGAGGUGAGUGGAAUUCCGAGUGUAGAGGUGAAAUUCGUAGAUAUUCGGAGGAACACCAGAGGCGAAGGCGGCUCACUGGUCCGGUACUGACGCUGAGGUGCGAAAGCGUGGGGAGCAAACAGG